UUUCAAAACUGAAGGACUUGAGUGAAGUAGAGGUAGGCGGAAUUUCCGGUGUAGCGGUGGAAUGCGUAGAUAUCGGAAGGAACACCAGUGGCGAAGGCGGCCUACUGGGCUUUUACUGACGCUGAGGCUCGAAAGCAUGGGUAGCAAACAGGAUUAGAUACCCUGGUAGUCCAUGCUGUAAACGAUGAUUACUAGGUGUGGGUUGGAAACAAUCCGUGCCGCAGUUAACACAAUAAGUAAUCCACCUGGGGAGUACGGCCGCAAGGCUGAAACUCAAAGGAAUUGACGGGGGCCCGCACAAGCAGUGGAGUAUGUGGUUUAAUUCGAAGCAACGCGAAGAACCUUACCAGGUCUUGACAUCGUAUGCAUAACUUAGAGAUAAGUGAAGUCCUUCGGGACAUACGGACAGGUGGUGCAUGGUUGUCGUCAGCUCGUGUCGUGAGAUGUUGGGUUAAGUCCCGCAACGAGCGCAACCCUUAUGCUUAGUUACUACGCAAGAGGACUCUAGGCAGACUGCCGUUGACAAAACGGAGGAAGGUGGGGAUGACGUCAAAUCAUCAUGCCCCUUAUGACCUGGGCUACACACGUACUACAAUGGCUGUUAACAAAGUGAACCGAAACCGCGAGGUGGAGGAAAACACAAAAAGCAGUCUCAGUUCGGAUUGUAGGCUGCAACUCGCCUACAUGAAGCCGGAAUUGCUAGUAAUCGCGGAUCAGCAUGCCGCGGUGAAUACGUUCCCGAGCCUUGUACACAC
rnacentral:rRNA from 1 species